AUUGAACGCUGGCGGCAUGCUUUACACAUGCAAGUCGAGCGGCAGCGCGGGGGCAACCCUGGCGGCGAGCGGCGAACGGGUGAGUAAUACAUCGGAACGUACCCCGUAGUGGGGGAUAACUCAGCGAAAGCUGGGCUAAUACCGCAUAUGCUCUACGGAGGAAAGUGGGGGACUCGCAAGGGCCUCACGCUAUGGGAGCGGCCGAUGUCCGAUUAGCUUGUUGGUGAGGUAAAGGCUCACCAAGGCGACGAUCGGUAGCUGGUCUGAGAGGAUGAUCAGCCACACUGGGACUGAGACACGGCCCAGACUCCUACGGGAGGCAGCAGUGGGGAAUUUUGGACAAUGGGGGCAACCCUGAUCCAGCCAUGCCGCGUGCGGGAAGAAGGCCUUCGGGUUGUAAACCGCUUUUGUCCGGGAAGAAAAGGCCUCUCAUAACACGGGAGGUUCUUGACGGUACCGGAAGAAUAAGCACCGGCUAACUACGUGCCAGCCGCCGCCGUAACAC
rnacentral:rRNA from 1 species